rnacentral:rRNA from 1 species
GUGGGGAAUCUUCCGCAAUGGGCGAAAGCCUGACGGAGCAACGCCGCGUGAGUGAUGACGGCCUUCGGGUUGUAAAGCUCUGUUAUAUGGGACGAACGGGCAUGGGGCCAAUACCCUCAUGCAGUGACGGUACCGUAAGAGAAAGCCACGGCUAACUACGUGCCAGCAGCCGCGGUAAUACGUAGGUGGCAAGCGUUGUCCGGAAUUAUUGGGCGUAAAGGGCGUGUAGGCGGCCAGACAAGUCUGUCUUAAAAGUGCGGGGCUCAACCCCGGGAUGGGAUGGAAACUGUCGGGCUAGAGUGUCGGAGAGGAAAGCGGAAUUCCUAGUGUAGCGGUGAAAUGCGUAGAUAUUAGGAGGAACACCAGUGGCGAAAGCGGCUUUCUGGACGACAACUGACGCUGAGGCGCGAAAGCCAGGGGAGCAAACGGGAUUAGAAACCCUAGUAGUCC